rnacentral:rRNA from 1 species
GAUGAACGCUGGCGGCGUGCCUAAUACAUGCAAGUCGAACGAACAGAUGAGUAGUUUGCUCUGCUGACGUUAGCCGCGGGCGUGUGAGUAACACGUGGAUAACCUACCUAUAAGACGGGGGUAACUUCGGGAAAGCGGAGCUACUACCGGAGAAUAUAUGAAACCACAGGGGGCACUAGUGACAGACGGUUUUGGGGUCGGCUGUUGAUGGAUCCGCGCCGCAUUAGCUAGUUGGUAGGGUAAGGGCUUACCAAGGCAACGAUCCGUAGCCGAUCUGAGAGGGUGAUCAGCCACACUGGAACUGAGACACGGUCCAGACUCCUACGGGAGGCAGCAGUAGGGAAUCUUCCGCAAUGGGCGAAAGCCUGACGGAGCAACGCCGCGUGAGUGAUGAAGGUCUUCGGAUCGUAAAACUCUGUUAUUAGGGAAGAACAAAUGUGUAAGUAACUAGGCACGUCUUGACGGUACCGAAUCAGAAAGCCACGGCUAACUACGUG